GAUAAGAACGUAGCGAAAUGCGAUAAGUAGUGUGAAUUGCAGAAUUCAGUGAAUCAUCGAAUCUUUGAACGCACAUUGCGCCCCUUGGUAUCCCGAGGGGCAUGCCUGUUCGAGCGUCAUUUCACCACUCAAGCCUGGCUUGGUGUUGGGCGACGUCCUCUUUGGGGACGCGCCUCGAAACGCUCGGCGGCGUGGCACCGGCUUUAAGCGUAGCAGAAUCUUUCGCUUUGGAAGUCGGGGCCCCGUCUGCCGGAAGACCUGCUCGCAAGGUUGACCUCGGAUCAGGCAGGGAUACCCGCUGAACUUAAGCAUAUCAAUAAGCGGAGGA
rnacentral:misc_RNA from 1 species